rnacentral:misc_RNA from 1 species
CGAGCAACUUAGUGUGGAAUAAAUGACGACGACGACUACGGAGAAGAUUGAAACUGGCACUGAAUAGGAAUAAUCCUGAUGUAAUACUGCAUGGUAAUGUCAAGAUUGUCUCAUGGCCUAAUCGCAUAAAGGGAAGAGGAGGGGUUUUUAGUUUCGUUAGGAAAAGUGAGAGUAACGAUCCGCGAUGCCAAUUGGUUAUUGCCCACCUUGAUAAAUGAAGAUAGAAGGAGGAGGCCUCCUACCAACGUGGCUCGUAAGUGACAUUGUUCAUGGGGAAAUCCAGCUUUCCCGUUAG